AGUGAACGCUGGCGGUAGGCCUAACACAUGCAAGUCGAACGGCAGCACAGUAAGAGCUUGCUCUUACGGGUGGCGAGUGGCGGACGGGUGAGGAAUACAUCGGAAUCUACUUUUUCGUGGGGGAUAACGUAGGGAAACUUACGCUAAUACCGCAUACGACCUACGGGUGAAAGCAGGGGAUCUUCGGACCUUGCGCGAUUGAAUGAGCCGAUGUCGGAUUAGCUAGUUGGCGGGGUAAAGGCCCACCAAGGCGACGAUCCGUAGCUGGUCUGAGGGGAUGAUCAGCCACACUGGAACUGAGACACGGUCCAGACUCCUACGGGAGGCAGCAGUGGGGAAUAUUGGACAAUGGGCGCAAGCCUGAUCCAGCCAUACCGCGUGUGUGAAGAAGGCCUUCGGGUUGUAAAGCCCUUUUGUUGGGAAAGAAAAGCAGCAGGUUAAUACCCCGCUGUUCUGACGGUACCCAAAGAAUAAGCACCGGCUAACUUCGUG
rnacentral:rRNA from 1 species